AAAUUGAAGAGUUUGAUCAUGGCUCAGAUUGAACGCUGGCGGCAGGCCUAACACAUGCAAGUCGAACGGUAACAGGAAGCAGCUUGCUGCUUCGCUGACGAGUGGCGGACGGGUGAGUAAUGUCUGGGAAACUGCCUGAUGGAGGGGGAUAACUACUGGAAACGGUGGCUAAUACCGCAUAACGUCGCAAGACCAAAGAGGGGGACCUUCGGGCCUCUUGCCAUCAGAUGUGCCCAGAUGGGAUUAGCUUGUUGGUGAGGUAACGGCUCACCAAGGCGACGAUCCCUAGCUGGUCUGAGAGGAUGACCAGCCACACUGGAACUGAGACACGGUCCAGACUCCUACGGGAGGCAGCAGUGGGGAAUAUUGCACAAUGGGCGCAAGCCUGAUGCAGCCAUGCCGCGUGUAUGAAGAAGGCCUUCGGGUUGUAAAGUACUUUCAGCGGGGAGGAAGGUGUUGCGGUUAAUAACCACAGCAAUUGACGUUACCCGCAGAAGAAGCACCGGCUAACUCCGUGCCAGCAGCCGCGGUAAUACGGAGGGUGCAAGCGUUAAUCGGAAUUACUGGGCGUAAAGCGCACGCAGGCGGUCUGUCAAGUCGGAUGUGAAAUCCCCGGGCUCAACCUGGGAACUGCAUUCGAAACUGGCAGGCUUGAGUCUUGUAGAGGGGGGUAGAAUUCCAGGUGUAGCGGUGAAAUGCGUAGAGAUCUGGAGGAAUACCGGUGGCGAAGGCGGCCCCCUGGACAAAGACUGACGCUCAGGUGCGAAAGCGUGGGGAGCAAACAGGAUUAGAUACCCUGGUAGUCCACGCCGUAAACGAUGUCUACUUGGAGGUUGUGCCCUUGAGGCGUGGCUUCCGGAGCUAACGCGUUAAGUAGACCGCCUGGGGAGUACGGCCGCAAGGUUAAAACUCAAAUGAAUUGACGGGGGCCCGCACAAGCGGUGGAGCAUGUGGUUUAAUUCGAUGCAACGCGAAGAACCUUACCUGGUCUUGACAUCCAC
rnacentral:rRNA from 1 species